AUGUACUCAGACAGCACACGGACGGGACACUAUGGACUCAUUCAUCAAAACAAUAACGACUGCUGCUACUGCCGCCGCGGUGUCCAUUACGGACCCACGUUGUUCCAGGGAGUACCACCAGCCAUACGCCCAGACUAUCCAGACCACCCACCAUCACUGGACCUCAGGGAAGACUUCCAGCUUCCUCCUUUCCCUGUGGAGACUGAGGAUAUAGAGCCUGGACUAGAGAAGGGUGAGAGAAGUGGAGGAGGAAGAGGUGGUGGAAGAGAAGAUGGAGGAAGAGGUGGAGGAGGAAGAGGUGGAGGAGGCAGAAGAGAAGGUGAAGGCAGAGGAGGAGGAAGAGGCAGACAAGAAAGUGAAGGCAGAGGAGAAGGAGGAGGCAGACGAGAAGGUGAAGGUAGAGGGGGAGGAGGAAGACGAGGCAGAAGAGAAGGUGAAGGCAGAGGAGGAGGAGGAGGAGGAGUAGGAGGCAGACGAGAAGGUGAAGGUGGAGGAGGAGGAGUAGGAGGCAGACGAGAAGGUGAAGGCAGAGGAGGAGGAGGAGGAGGAGGCAGACGAGAAGGUGAAGGCAGAGGAGGAGGAGGAGGCAGACGAGAAGGUGAAGGCAGAGGAGGAGGUGAAGGCAGAGGAGGAGGUGGAAGAGGAGGCAGAGGAGGAGGUGGAGGAGGCGGCAUUGAAGCUGAAGCUGGAGGUGGUUACACUCACAGGGCCCCACAGAGGAGGCCAGUGUUCACAGAGCAGGGUCAGUAUGUCCAACCUCAGCCAGACCUAUUUAGCCCUAGCCAAACCUAUGACUACAACCCUGCCCAGUGGAGCUGGCCAGUGGAGCCCUCAGGCCCUAGUCUGAGACACUAUUCCCCUGUGAAAGAACAAUGUGGCUGUGUGGGACAGGGUGGAGGUGACGCUGUUGGGACGGCGACCAGGACACACCUCUUUAACAGCAGCAGACAUGCGUCAGCCUUGUCACUCCCGGCGGACCCAGACCCGGCACACAGACAGACAGACAGACAGAUUAGCUACAACUACAAUCCAGAGGGGCACAGGCAGGCUAGUUAUGGAGCGGAAGAGCAGAUCUGGGAUCAGUCAAAACACAGACAGGCCAGCUGCAGUUACAGUACUGAAGACAAACCGAAACACAGGCAGGCUAGUUAUGGAGUGGAAGAACAGAUCUGGGGUCAAUCAAAACACAGACAGGCCAGCUGCAGCUACAGUUUGAGGCUAGAAAGACAGGCUAGCUACGGUCCACAGGAACUACACAGACAGGCUAGCUACGGUCCAGAAGAACAGAUCUGGGAUCAGUCGAAACACAGACAGGCUAGCUACAGUUACAGUCCAGAAGACAAGCCGAUACACGGACAGACUAGCUACGGUCCAGAAGAACAGAUCUGUGAUCAGUCGAAUCACAGACAGGCUAGUUACAGUCCAGAAGACAAACCGAUACACGGACAGACUAGCUACUGUCCAGAAGAACAGAUCUGGGAUCAGUCGAAACACAGACAGGCUAGCUACAGUUACAGUCCAGAAAGGCAGGACUGGAGAUUUACUGCUAGUGGUAAACACGAUCAUUUGGACAGGUGUGUACCACUGGAACAAGGAGAUUUACACCCCCACAUGCCAAAUGAAUGCUGUGGCAUUGGUGGUCCCAGCCCCAGGCCUGUGUCCUCUCGGGGCAGGGGAGAUAGAGCUAACCACCAGGAGAGGACUACUAGAUUAAAGGCUGGAGGAGUUGGAGGUGGGAUAAGAGAGGACGGCUGUAAUGGACGACAUGUCCCUGCUGGCUCUAGCUCUGAGGGUUUGGUCAGGAAGAAGCAGAGUUUGGUCAGGAAGAAGCAGAGUUUGGUCCGGAAGAACCAGAGUAUGGUCCAGGAGAAGGAGGUUGGGGUCCAUGAGAACCACGGUUCGACCCAGGAGAACCAGGGUUCGAUCCGGGAGAAGGAGGAUUCAGUCCGGGCGAAGAAGGGUUCGGUCCGGGAAAACGAGGGUUCGAUCCGGGAGAAGGAGGGUUCAGUCCGGACGAAGGAGGGUUCUGUCUGUGAGCAGAUCAGACAGGUGGUGUCAGACCUGGAGGGGGUCCUGGGUGGUCUCAAACAGGUCCACGUGGAGAUGAAGGAGGAGCCCUGACGUGGUGAAGAGAUGACAUUCAGUGGUGGACACGGUCAGAGCUCGCCCUGAAGGGGGGGGUAUUUCCAAGGGAAAACACUCCAGACAGACAGGAGGGAAAUUCCACAUGAAAGCCUGCGAUGCACAGGCCUUGAGACGCACAGUAUGUCUGGGGGGUUGGUAAAAACAUAAGACAGCAAAAAUAAACAUUUCUGAUACAAAUUGGACAAUAAAGUUGUAUUGUAUUGUAUAACCCAACCCUACUGAUCACCCUUGGAGCUAGACAUCAAAGGUAAUCGACAAAAUAAUCUCUAGACAAAUGAGAAUGAAUGUUGGAAGUUACAUUUUACAUUUUAGAAAGUUAUACGAUUAUACUAUCUAUAUUCAUGUUUAUAAAUAAUGUUUAUUUUCUAAAUUUGAAAAUUGUACCCUCUGAAACAUUCAAUUCCAAAAAAGUUAAAAUUGUCAACUGAAUGUGUCACAUUUCUUACAUUUGUGUAUGAAAUAAAGAUAGCAGUGACCUAAUCAUUGGUAUUAAUAUUGAUUUGAAAUGUUUUAUGUUCUGUUCUGGCACCGAUGCGUGUGUUUCCAUUCUCCUUAGCUGUCUGUAUUCCAUGGCACUAGUGUCUAAACUGCCAUUUCUGCACCUGAAAUUACAACUUAUUCCCUAAAUAGUGCACUAUUUUUGAUCAGAACCCUAUGGGUCCUGAUCAACAGUAGUGGACUAAAUAUGGAUUUGAGUGUCCUUUGGAACCCAGUCUUUAUGAUAUGGAACAGACUACUGCGUGUUGGAAUCAUCUGCAGGUAGGCUUGCUACCCUCUCUGUCUCUCUGUUUAUUAAAAAUCUUGUCUGAGAGUUUCACCACUUCUCUCCCAGAGCCCCUACUGAUAGGCUGCUACCGUACAUCCCUCUGUCUCUGGCUGCGUUUACACAGGAAGCACAAUUCUGUUCCUUUUUCCACUAAUUGUUCUUUUUGACCAAUCACAUCAGAUCUUUUCAGAUCAAAUGUAUUUUUCUGAGUUGAUCUGAUUGGCCAAAACACCAAUUUGUGAGAAAAAAAAGAACUCGAAUUGGGCUGCCUGUGUAAACGCAGUCCUGUUUCCUCUGUCACCACAGAACAGCUCUGUUUCUCCUCUCUCCUCUGAUGACGUCAAGCCCAGUUUCCUCCCGUCACUCCUGUCUCUUCCACCCUCACCACAGAACAGCUCUCUUUCUCCUCCUCAAGCCCUGUUGACUGAUAACCGAUGUACUGAGUCUGUACCACUACAAACUGUUAGAGCGACUUUAUCAUGGUGUUACGUAAUUCCGGAUGGAUUCUUGCUUGCUUGAACGCCAAUAACUCAGAUACACAUGAAAACAUGAAAUGAGCCAGGGAAUCGGUAGAACAUCACUCAGAGAUGCACAAAAAACAAUAUAACAUUCAAAAUGGGUGAACCUUUCCUUUAAGCAAAAUCUGAAUAAAAAUGUUUAAAUCUUCCAAUGACUAAGAAACCAUCUCUCAUCGUAUUCAUUGGAUACGCCUGUUUGGGAAUUAACAUGCUCUCAUAUUUCAAAGUUUGACUGUUCUACUUUUCAAAAGUUUUUUGUAACUUUUUUUCCACCGACACAUGAUUAGGUGUGUGAAGACAGGCCAGACAGGCUCAGUUCAGAAUGAAAAGAAAAAGCUUGUCUUCAAAAGCCAAGCUCUACUCAGAGAGUGUGUCUGCAGUACAGUGUUGGAUGUUGGAUGUGCUGAAUCUAGAGAACACCACAGACAUAUAAAGCCCCCCCCCCCCCCCCCCCCGUGGGCUUUGAACGAGUAGCUCGGCUUUGACCUUUCAGCCAAGGCUGUCUGCAUAUAUCUCCUCUAUUCAUUUCAUCAGCCACAUGACACUAGCUGGGAGGCUGCUGCCUGUUGGCUGUGUCUCCUCGGUAAACAGUGAAAGACUGGUAUGUCUGGAACCAAGAACAAUACUACGAGACAAAUGGCGCACUAUUCCCCAUGUGCACCACAUACUGUAGGGACUAGGAAUAGGGUACCAUUUGGGAUGAACAUAGACUUUCUCGAUAACAUCUACUGACGUCUGUUGGACUGUUGGUUGCUUCCACCCAAAACUAACACAGGAGUAGACUGGAUAUCAGGUUGCUCUGCUGAAGCUGUUAAUACUGCAGGUAUGGAUGAACGGGAGGAUAUUCUUACUUACUGUUGGCUCGGUCUGGUGUCUGGGGAGCUUCCAACCAGGGGAAAAGUACAGCUUCCUGGGUAGUUUGAUCUGUCUGUAUGUCUGUCUCUGGCACUCUGUCUGUCUGUCUGUACACCAGUCCACAUCACUGCACGACACAACAUUGGCAGUACAGUACAGUGUUUCGAAACCAUUUCUGUACCAGUGACUGGUCGAGACAUGGUCCUCCUCCUUUUUUUAAGCAGCUCAUGUUUAAAACAAAUACAACAUGUAAAACCACCACUGGAGGGACAACUCACCACUAUAACUGUUCCUCUGUCUGGAGAUACAUCUCACCACUAUAACUGUUCCUCUGUCUGGAGAUACAACUCACCACUAUAACUGUUCCUCUGUCUGGAGAUACAACUCACCACUAUAACUGUUCCUCUGUCUGGAGAUACAACUCACCACUAUAACUGUCCCUCUGUCUGGAGAUACAACUCACCACUAUAACUGUUCCUCUGUCUGGAGAUACAACUCACCACUAUAACUUUUCCUCUGUCUAGCCAUUUUGUUUUCCUCCCAGUUGUGCUGUCUAUCUGCCUCAGCAUCUUCUCUGCUGUCACUGUGCUUCUUGUUGUUCUCUGUCUGUCUGCCUGUCUGCUUAUAAAGGGCAAUUACACCACUUUCAAUCUCAUUUUCAUUAUCCAGUAUCCAUGUUUUGUAGAAAAACAAAUAAAGUAAUGACAUCAUGACAUAAAGUAAUGACAUCAUGACAUAAAGUAAUGACAUCUUCAAAAGUUUAAACAUGUUUAAAAACAGUGAUUUUUAAACACUAUGAGACUCACAGUGACGUGGGGAGCAAGAUAAUUCCCUCCCUCUAGCUACUCAUUGCAGUUAAAAAAAAUCACUGCUUGUGCCCUCACAAAUGGUGAAGCACUGCAUCGCGGUGUAGAAACGUCAAUACAGUCUGGGGUUCGAUCCCAAGCUGUGUCACAGCCGACCGUGACUGAGAGUCCCAUAGGGCGGUGCACAAUUGGCCCAGCGUUUUUCCUGGUUAGCGGAGGGUUUGGCCGCGCAGCUUUACUUGGCUCAUUGUGCUCUAGUGACUCCUUGUGGUGGGCCGGGUGCCUGCAAGCUGACCUCGGUCAUUGAUUUAAUGUUUUUUUCCUCCAAUACAUUGGUGCAGCUCGCUUCCGGGUUAAGCAAGCAUGUGUUAAGAAGUAGCGUGGCUUGGCGGUCAUGUUCAGAGUACGCACGACUCAACCUUCGCCUCUCCCGAGCGUGUUGGGAAUGAGACAGGAUUACAAUUGGAUCUCACAAAUUGUGGAGAAAAAGGGGGUAAAAUUACAAAUAAAAAAAUAAAAAAAACAAUAUAAAAAAACCCACUUUGUUUUACAUUUAAUCCUACCCUGUCAUGUCACAGAGCACUUUUUAACUACAGAUCAUAGAAACAUGACUUUUUCACAUAUGUAGACACUGGUAUGGUGCUGGAGAUAAUGAAUAUGAGGUUGAAAAGUGGUGGAAUUGCCAUUUGAGCCUUAUAUGUUAUAAAAACCAAGCUAAUGACUUAGAGCCUGUCAUACAGUAUCUCACAAAAGUGAGUACACCCCUCACAUUUGUAUAAAUAUUUGAGUAUAUCUUUUAAUGUGACAACACUGAAGAAAUGACACUUUGCUACAAUGUAAAGUAGUGCGUGUACAGCUUGUAUAACAGUGUACAUUUGCUGUCCCCUCAAAAUAACUCAACACACAGCCAUUAACGUCUAAACCGCUGGCAACAAAAGUGAGUACACCCCUAAGUGAAAAUGUGAGAUACUGUAUGUGUUCCCUUGAAUCAACACCUAUCCUAAGUGUUCGCUACUAUUACAGGACUCCAGUCUAACAUAUUGCCCUGCAUUAUCACCUACCCUAUUAAUUACUAUUACAGGGCUCCAGACUAACAUAUUGCCCUGAAUUAUCACCUACCCUUGUGGCGAAAUCCUGCACGGAGCCUUCACCGUGCGCUGCCACUUUAAGAGCGCAUCAGCAGUUCAUUAAAUCAAAUCAAACUUUAUUUGUCACAUGCGCCGAAUACAACAAGUGUAGACCUUACUGUGUAAUGCUUACUUACUUUUUUGGGGUGGUAGGUAGCCUAGUGGUUAGAGCGUUGGGCCAGUAACUGAAAGGUGGCUUCAUCAAAUCCCCGACCUGACAAGGUAGAAAUCUGUUAUUCUCCCCCUGAACAAGGCAUUUAACCCACUGUUCCCCGGUAGGCUGUCAUUGUAAAUAAGAAUUUGUUCUAAUUGACUGACUUGCCUAGUUAAAUAAAGGUGUGCCGUUCAAGAAGAGUUGAGAAAAUAUUUACCAGCUAAAGUAAAAAAUAAUAAAAAGUAACAGAAUAACGGCUGCUACAGACUGCCCUCGGCUUCGGGAGACGCAUUUAACUCUCUUUCUGAUGUCCUGCACAAGCUAAAUAACUCUGAAUUCAUUAUUUUAGGAGAUUUGAACUGGGACAUG
rnacentral:lncRNA from 8 species